rnacentral:rRNA from 1 species
CCAGACUCCUACGGGAGGCAGCAGUGAGGAAUAUUGGUCAAUGGGCGCGAGCCUGAACCAGCCAAGUCGCGUGAGGGAUGACGGUCCUACGGAUUGUAAACCUCUUUUGCCGGGGAGCAGUGGUCCGGACGCGUCCGGACCGGGAGAGUACCCGGAGAAAAAGCAUCGGCUAACUCCGUGCCAGCAGCCGCGGUAAUACGGAGGAUGCGAGCGUUAUCCGGAUUUAUUGGGUUUAAAGGGUGCGUAGGCGGGCAUUUAGGCCGGCGGUAAAAUGUCGGGGCUCAACCCCGGCCUGCCGUGGGAACUGGGUGCCUUGAGUGGGCGAGAAGUAUGCGGAAUGCGUGGUGUAGCGGUGAAAUGCAUAGAUAUCACGCAGAACCCCGAUUGCGAAGGCAGCAUACCGGCGCCCUACUGACGCUGAGGCACGAAAGUGCGGGUAUCGAACAGGAUUAGAUACCCCAGUA